rnacentral:misc_RNA from 1 species
GGGGGCCAGCGGGUGGACCCUCCUUACCUUAAGAACCUGCCUUUGUAGUGCUCACACAGAUUGUCUGAUGAAAAUAAAAUAAAAAGGCUCUGCAGGCUUGUAACUCAGGUGGUUAGAGCGCACCCCUGAUAAGGGUGAGGUCGGUGGUUCAAGUCCACUCGGGCCUACCAAACCCCUGUUGAUCCAGUUGUGGGUACGUGAGUGAAACCUCGUGCCGCUAUAUCUCUACACUCCUCGUCUGGUAAAGUUUGAGAAAUUCUCAGCUUUAAGAUCUGGAUGGGGCUGCAACUUUACACCGCAAACAUGUGUUGUGUCUCAAAGACCCCCGAAAACUCGCCCUGAUGAAGGUUCAUCAAAAAAAUUCUCUCUCGCUUUGGAUCUUCAACCGAUAAUCGUACAAGGUGGGUUGGAUAGUAAUAUUCCCCAGCACUCUUGUUUCCUGAUUAAAUUUGUAACGUCACACCUUUUGACGUGUGUCCCAAUAUUCACUAAUUUUCGGAUCUUGUGCCAUAACCCAUUUAUUCCCUCUCCCCCGUUUCCACCUUUACCCCAUUAUCCCUAUUCCGUUACUUCCUUGUUAUUUUUUUUCUCUUCCCCUUUUUUUUU